UACGUAGGUGGCAAGCGUUGUUCGGAAUUAUUGGGCGUAAAGGGCGCGUAGGCGGUUUGUUAAGUCGGUCGUGAAAGCCCGGGGCUCAACCCCGGAGGGUCGACCGAUACUGGCAGACUAGAGUACAGAAGAGGUAACUGGAAUUCCCGGUGUAGCGGUGAAAUUCGUAGAUAUCAGGAGGAACACCAGUGGCGAAGGCGGCUUUCUGGACGGUAACUGACGCUGAGACGCGAAAGCGUGGGGAGCAAACAGG
rnacentral:rRNA from 1 species